rnacentral:lncRNA from 1 species
CCCCAGCAUAGUCGACACAGUUCCGGCAGUAGCAACAACUCUCUUCAUCUUGGCCCUACUUUUCUGCUUAAACUCAUCUUGAAGGAAACCAUUCCCCAAACCGAAUAUAUCCGAAGCAUUCGAGCUUGAGCUCGAGCUCGAACCCAUUUCAUAACUCCCAUUAGAGCUCGAACACGUCGUGCUCUGAUCCUCCAUCACUGCACUUUUUUCAGGGAUCUCUGAAGACCUAGUCGGAGCUUCCCCCAGCGACAUCGAAGCAAACGCUUCCGCCGCAUUUCUCAUAGCUUUCUGUCCAUUUUCGC